UUCCGGUUGAUCCUGCCGGAGGUCACUGCUAUCGGGGUUCGAUUAAGCCAUGCGAGUCGAGAGGGUUCGGCCCUCGGCGUACUGCUCAGUAACACGUGGAUAACCUGCCCUAGGGGAGGGGAUAACCCCGGGAAACUGGGGAUAAUACCCUAUAGGUUACAGAUGCUGGAAUGCCCUGUAACCAAAAGCUCCGGCGCCCUAGGAUGGAUCUGCGGCCGAUUAGGUUGUUGUUGGGGUAACGGCCCAACAAGCCCGUAAUCGGUACGGGUUGUGGGAGCAAGAGCCCGGAGUUGGAUUCUGAGACACGAAUCCAGGCCCUACGGGGCGCAGCAGGCGCGAAACCUUUACAAUGCGGGCAACCGUGAUAAGGGAACCUCGAGUGCCUGUAAACGCAGGCUGUUCAGGUGUUUAAAACGCACCUGGAGAAAGGGCCGGGCAAGACCGGUGCCAGCCGCCGCGGUAAUACCGGCGGCUCGAGUGGUGGCCGCUUUUAUUGGGAUUAAAGCGUUCGUAGCUGGGUUGUUAAGUCUCUUGGGAAAUCUGGCGGCUUAACCGUCAGGCGUCUAAGGGAUACUGGCAAUCUUGGAACCGGGAGAGGUGAGGGGUACUUCGGGGGUAGGGGUGAAAUCCUGUAAUCCUCGAGGGACCACCUGUGGCGAAGGCGCCUCACCAGAACGGCUUCGACAGUGAGGGACGAAAGCUGGGGGAGCAAACCGGAUUAGAUACCCGGGUAGUCCCAGCCGUAAACGAUGCGCGUUAGGUGUAUCGGUGACCACGAGUUACCGAGGCGCCGAAGGGAAACCAUGAAACGCGCCGCCUGGGAAGUACGGUCGCAAGGCUGAAACUUAAAGGAAUUGGCGGUGGAGCACCACAACGGGUGGAGCCUGCGGUUUAAUUGGAUUCAACGCCGGGAAUCACUAGUGCGGCCGCCUGCAGGUCGACCAUAUGGG
rnacentral:rRNA from 1 species